AGUGAACGCUGGCGGCAUGCCUAACACAUGCAAGUCGAACGGCAGCACGGGAAGCGGCCGCUCGUACGGUUGGCGACUGGCGGGUGAGUGAGGAGAACAUCGCCAUCUACGGGGGCUAGGGGGACAACGGACGGAAACAUACCCUAAACGAGCAGACGAUGAACGGGGGAGAGCAGGAGGCCUUGCGACCUUGGAGGGGCCGAUGAGCCGAUGUCGGAUUAGCUAGUUGGCGGGGUAACGGCUCACCAAGGCGACGAUCCGUAGCUGGUCUGAGAGGAUGAUCAGCCACACUGGAACUGAGACACGGUCCAGACUCCUACGGGAGGCAGCAGUGGGGAAUUUUGGACAAUGGGCGCAACCCUGAUCCAGCCAUGCCGCGUGCGUGAAGAAGGCCUUCGGGUUGUAAACCCCUUUUGUUCGGGAAGAAAACCUGUGGGCUAAUACCCCGCUGUUAUGACGGUACCGGAAGAAUAAGCACCGGCUAACUUCGUG
rnacentral:rRNA from 1 species